rnacentral:rRNA from 1 species
GAUGAACGCUGGCGGCGUGCUUAACACAUGCAAGUCGAACGGGAUCCAUCGGGCUUUGCCUGGUGGUGAGAGUGGCGAACGGGUGAGUAAUGCGUGACCGACCUGCCCCAUGCACCGGAAUAGCUCCUGGAAACGGGUGGUAAUGCCGGAUGCUCCAUCACACCGCAUGGUGUGUUGGGAAAGCCUUUGCGGCAUGGGAUGGGGUCGCGUCCUAUCAGCUUGAUGGCGGGGUAACGGCCCACCAUGGCUUCGACGGGUAGCCGGCCUGAGAGGGCGACCGGCCACAUUGGGACUGAGAUACGGCCCAGACUCCUACGGGAGGCAGCAGUGGGGAAUAUUGCACAAUGGGCGCAAGCCUGAUGCAGCGACGCCGCGUGAGGGAUGGAGGCCUUCGGGUUGUAAACCUCUUUUGUUAGGGAGCAAGGCACUUUGUGUUGAGUGUACCUUUCGAAUAAGCACCG